rnacentral:rRNA from 1 species
UACGUAGGGUGCAGGCGUUAAUCGGAAUUACUGGGCGUAAAGCGUGCGCAGGCGGUUUGUUAAGACAGGUGUGAAAUCCCCGGGCUUAACCUGGGAACUGCGCUUGUUACUGGCAGACUUGAGUGUAGCAGAGGGGGGGUGGAAUUCCACGUGUAGCAGUGAAAUGCGUAGAUAUGCGGAGGAACACCGAUGGCGAAGGCAAUCCCCUGGACCUGUACUGACGCUCAUGCACGAAAGGCGUGGGGAGCAAACAGG